rnacentral:rRNA from 1 species
UGAGACACGGCCCAGACUCCUACGGGAGGCAGCAGUGGGGAAUAUUGCACAAUGGGGGAAACCCUGAUGCAGCGACGCCGCGUGGAGGAAGAAGGUCUUCGGAUUGUAAACUCCUGUUGUUGAGGAAGAUAAUGACGGUACUCAACAAGGAAGUGACGGCUAACUACGUGCCAGCAGCCGCGGUAAAACGUAGGUCACAAGCGUUGUCCGGAAUUACUGGGUGUAAAGGGAGCGCAGGCGGGAAAACAAGUUGGAAGUGAAAUCCAUGGGCUCAACCCAUGAACUGCUUUCAAAACUGUUUUUCUUGAGUAGUGCAGAGGUAGGCGGAAUUCCCGGUGUAGCGGUGGAAUGCGUAGAUAUCGGGAGGAACACCAGUGGCGAAGGCGGCCUACUGGGCACCAACUGACGCUGAGGCUCGAAAGUGUGGGUAGCAAACAGGAUUAGAUACCCUGGUAGUCCACACCGUAAACGAUGAUUACUAGGUGUUGGAGGAUUGACCCCUUCAGUGCCGCAGUUAACACAAUAAGUAAUCCACCUGGGGAGUACGACCGCAAGGUUGAAACUCAAAGGAAUUGACGGGGGCCCGCACAAGCAGUGGAGUAUGUGGUUUAAUUCGACGCAACGCGAAGAACCUUACCAAGUCUUGACAUCCUGCGACGGUGCUGGAAACAGUACUUUCCUUCGGGACGCAGAGACAGGUGGUGCAUGGUUGUCGUCAGCUCGUGUCGUGAGAUGUUGGGUUAAGUCCCGCAACGAGCGCAACCCUUAUGGUCAGUUACUACGCAAGAGGACUCUGGCCAGACUGCCGUUGACAAAACGGAGGAAGGUGGGGAUGACGUCAAAUCAUCAUGCCCUUUAUGACUUGGGCUACACACGUACUACAAUGGCGUUAAACAAAGAGAAGCAAGACCGCGAGGUGGAGCAAAACUCAGAAACAACGUCCCAGUUCGGACUGCAGGCUGCAACUCGCCUGCACGAAGUCGGAAUUGCUAGUAAUCGUGGAUCAGCAUGCCACGGUGAAUACGUUCCCGGGCCUUGUACACACCGCCCGUCACACCAUGAGAGCCGGGGGGACCCGAAGUCGGUAGUCUAACCGCAAGGAGGACGCCGCCGAAGGUAAAACUGGUGAUUGGGGUGAAGUCGUAACAAGGUAGCCGUAGGAGAACCUGCGGCUG